UACGGAGGGUGCAAGCAUUAAUCGGAUUUAUUGGGCGUAAAGGGCGCGUAGGCUGGUCUUUAAGUCAGAUGUGAAAUCCCGAGGCUCAACCUCGGAACAGCAUUUGAAACUGAAGAUCUAGAGGGUAGAAGGAGAGAAUGGAAUUCCACAAGUAGCGGUGAAAUGCGUAGAUAUGUGGAAGAACACCGGUGGCGAAGGCGAUUCUCUAUUUUAUUCCUGACGCUGAGGCGCGAAAGUAAGGGGAUCAAACAGG
rnacentral:rRNA from 1 species